AUGACGGCGGCCGAAUGUGGGAAGGAAGCGUGGAGCGUAAGUCGCGAGCCGAUAAACAAGAACCGCAUAGAAGGCGUUGCCAAGCAGGGCGGGCGGGUAAUAGACUGCGAAGCUCUCGUGACCAGGGCGAAGCGGCGUAAAUGCGGCGGCUGUGCCAUGAAGGAGUGCGCUC
rnacentral:ncRNA from 1 species